rnacentral:rRNA from 1 species
CAGUAGCCGCGGUAAUACGAAGGGUGCAAGCGUUACUCGGAAUUACUGGGCGUAAAGCGUGCGUAGGUGGUGGUUUAAGUCCGUUGUGAAAGCCCUGGGCUCAACCUGGGAAUUGCAGUGGAUACUGGGUCACUAGAGUGUGGUAGAGGAUAGUGGAAUUUCCGGUGUAGCAGUGAAAUGCGUAGAGAUCGGUAGGAACAUCUGUGGCGAAGGCGACUAUCUGGGCCAACACUGACACUGAGGCACGAAAGCGUGGGGAGCAAACAGGAUUAGAUACCCCUGUAGUCCCUGUCUCUUAUAC